rnacentral:rRNA from 1 species
UACGAAGGGUGCAAGCGUUACUCGGAAUUACUGGGCGUAAAGCGUGCGUAGGUGGUUCGUUAAGUCUGUCGUGAAAGCCCCGGGCUCAACCUGGGAAUGGCGAUGGAUACUGGCGGGCUAGAGUGCGGUAGAGGGUGGUGGAAUUCCCGGUGUAGCAGUGAAAUGCGUAGAGAUCGGGAGGAACACCGGUGGCGAAGGCGGUUCUCUGGGCAUUACCUGACGCUGAGGAGCGAAAGUGUGGGGAGCGAACAGG